UACGUAGGGGGCAAGCGUUGUCCGGAAUCACUGGGCGUAAAGCGCGCGCAGGCGGUCUUUCACGUCCGGGGUGAAAGCCCAGAGCUCAACUCUGGGAUUGCCUUGGAUACGGGGAGACUUGAGGAUCGGAGGGGCAAGGGGAAUUCCCCGUGUAGCGGUGAAAUGCGUAGAUAUCGGGAGGAACACCAGUGGCGAAGGCGGCUUUCUGGCCUGUUCUUGACGCUGAGGCGCGAAAGCUAGGGGAGCAAACGGG
rnacentral:rRNA from 1 species